GCUGAGUUGGCUGAAUGGUUAGGCAAAUGAUUGCAAAUCAUUAUUACGUCGGUUCGAAUCCGGUACUCAGCUCCA
rnacentral:tRNA from 1 species